rnacentral:misc_RNA from 1 species
CUACAAGCUGAUAACUUCAUAUCACUGUGUUGCUCAUCACUCCCACCUCUUACUAAGCAUAUCUUUGGCUCAUCUAUUAUCACUUCUCCAUUAGCCUGUAUUUCUUCCUCCUCCCUCGAAAUCCGGUUCAGGUCAAAAAUAGGACCAUUGUUUCUAACAGAAACUUCCUUUCCGCUGUAAAUCCUUUCCUUUAUAUUCAAGUCUGGAAUUGUAGCUGAAUUACGUAAUACAGAUUCCUUCCCAAUAUACGUCCUCUGCUUCUUGCUCAAGUCAAAAAUUGGACCAAGGGUUUGCAAAGCAGCUUCUCUUUCACUGUAAAACUUUCCCUUUCUGUUUAAAUCAAAUCGUGAAGCCAGGGGCUGCACAGCAGCAUCAUUC